rnacentral:misc_RNA from 1 species
GUAUUAUAUUGCGUUAAACGCGGUAUUGCAUUCCAUGAGACUUUACUACAGUGUGUGUGUGUAAAUACAUAGAACCACGGCAGGGAGACAGAGCCCCCAGGCUGCAGAACUAUGGAGGGUGCACAGGUGUGAGUGGAUGUGUAAACAGAGCGUGCACGUGUCCCCAUUUGAGGACCAGCAACAACUCGUGUCGACAAUUCGGUAAUGAUCCUUCCGCAGGUUCACCUACGGAAA